rnacentral:rRNA from 1 species
AACGAACGCUGGCGGCAGGCCUAACACAUGCAAGUCGAGCGCGCCCUUCGGGGUGAGCGGCGGACGGGUGCGUAACGCGUGGGAACGUGCCCUUCUCUGCGGAAUAGCCCCGGGAAACUGAGAGUAAUACCGCAUACGCCCUUUGGGGGAAAGAUUUAUCGGAGAAGGAUCGGCCCGCGUUGGAUUAGGUAGUUGGUGGGGUAAUGGCCCACCAAGGCGACGAUCCAUAGCUGGUUUGAGAGGAUGAUCAGCCACACUGGGACUGAGACACGGCCCAGACUCCUACGGGAGGCAGCAGUGGGGAAUCUUAGACAAUGGGGGCAACCCUGAUCUAGCCAUGCCGCGUGAGUGAUGAAGGCCUUAGGGUUGUAAAGCUCUUUCAGCUGGGAAGAUAAUGACGGUACCGGCAGAAGAAGCCCCGGCUAACUCCGUG